rnacentral:rRNA from 1 species
GACGAACGCUGGCGGCGUGCUUAACACAUGCAAGUCGACCGGAAAGGCCCUGCUUUUGUGGGGUGCUCGAGUGGCGAACGGGUGAGUAACACGUGAGUAACCUGCCCUUGACUUUGGGAUAACUUCAGGAAACUGGGGCUAAUACCGGAUAGGAGCUCCUGCUGCAUGGUGGGGGUUGGAAAGUUUCGGCGGUUGGGGAUGGACUCGCGGCUUAUCAGCUUGUUGGUGGGGUAGUGGCUUACCAAGGCUUUGACGGGUAGCCGGCCUGAGAGGGUGACCGGCCACAUUGGGACUGAGAUACGGCCCAGACUCCUACGGGAGGCAGCAGUGGGGAAUAUUGCACAAUGGGCGGAAGCCUGAUGCAGCAACGCCGCGUGCGGGAUGACGGCCUUCGGGUUGUAAACCGCUUUCGCCUGUGACGAAGCGUGAGUGACGGUAAUGGGUAAAGAAGCACCGGCUAACUACGUG